GGGGGCGCAACGGAUUCGACGGGAUUGCAUCCGUCGUGGAAAGGCGUGCCGGGUUCCGAGCUCCCGUAAAACGAUCGGAAAACCAAAACUGCCAAUACACCGCAGUUUGCUUACGCUGCCUAAUUGAUUAGGUAGCCGCUCCGGACCGUUGGGCCUGCACAUGGUCCGAGAGCGUCAUCUUGCAGGAUCAGGUCCAAGGCUUCUGUCCGGAGCCGAAAGCCGAAAUUAACCGGGCUAAGCCGCCUCUCUCUUGCCGGUUCCGCAAGAGGCGGACGAAAACCAACGAAUCGGAAACGCACGUAGUCUUUUUGCGGUGGACUUUCUCGGACGCGGGUUCGACUCCCGCCGCCUCCACCA
rnacentral:tmRNA from 1 species